rnacentral:sRNA from 1 species
AAAACCAACGCCUGGCUCGGAGCAGCAGCCUCUGAGGUGUCCCUGGCCAGUGUCCUUCCACCUGUCCACAAGCAUGGGGAACAUCUUCGCCAACCUCUUCAAGGGCCUUUUUGGCAAAAAAGAAAUGCGCAUCCUCAUGGUGGGCCUGGAUGCUGCAGGGAAGACCACGAUCCUCUACAAGCUUAAGCUGGGUGAGAUCGUGACCACCAUUCCCACCAUAGGUGAGGUGGGGGCCAGCAGGGAGUGGGCUGGGCUGGCCUGGGCCAAGGUACAAGGCCUCACCCUGCAUCCCGCACCCAGGCUUCAACGUGGAAACCGUGGAGUACAAGAACAUCAGCUUCACUGUGUGGGACGUGGGUGGCCAGGACAAGAUCCGGCCCCUGUGGCGCCACUACUUCCAGAACACACAAGGCCUGAUCUUCGUGGUGGACAGCAAUGACAGAGAGCGUGUGAACGAGGCCCGUGAGGAGCUCAUGAGGAUGCUGGCCGAGGACGAGCUCCGGGAUGCUGUCCUCCUGGUGUUCGCCAACAAGCAGGACCUCCCCAACGCCAUGAAUGCGGCUGAGAUCACAGACAAGCUGGGGCUGCACUCCCUACGCCACAGAAACUGGUACAUUCAGGCCACCUGCGCCACCAGCGGUGACGGGCUCUAUGAAGGACUGGACUGGCUGUCCAAUCAGCUCCGGAACCAGAAGUGAACGUGACCCCCCUC